GAUUGCGCUACUCUGCUCCGUAGGAGCUAUAUAGUGCUCUAUUUGGCUGGAGGCAAUCGAGCGUUCGUCUCAAAUUAAUUUUGUCCAGGAAGAGGUGCAUUCUAUUGUGUGCCCGCUCUCAGCACUUGCGGCAAUAAACGGUGGAAUCGAAGAACGCUUGUCUUUACACCCGAGCGACUUGUGGACCUCGCACGAAAAUGGCAGCGGGGGCGUGGUGCAGAAGGAGGGCGAGAAGGAUUGCCCUCAGUGGAAAGGAGGAAAAUGCAGGGAGAAGAAGAAUUGGGCUACUUUUCAGUAUAUAGGGACCGUGUUCU